rnacentral:rRNA from 1 species
UACGGGGGGGGCAAGCGUUGUUCGGAAUUACUGGGCGUAAAGGGCGCGUAGGCGGUUUGCUAAGUUGGAUGUGAAAACUCUGGGCUUAACCCAGAGCCUGCAUCCAAAACUGGCAAACUUGAGUACUGGAGGGGAAAGCGGAAUUCCUGGUGUAGCGGUGAAAUGCGUAGAUAUCAGGAGGAACACCGGUGGCGAAGGCGGCUUUCUGGAAAGUAACUGACGCUGAGGCGCGAAAGCUAGGGGAGCAAACAGG